rnacentral:lncRNA from 1 species
AGGUCUCUUACUUUUUAAUCUGAUUUUCUUUUCAAGAAAAUCAGAUCUAAUUGGAAAGGCCCUUGCUUCAAAAGUCAAGUGGAUGUGGCAUCCUCAUCUUAUAAGGCAAGAUGAGAGGGCGCCACAUGAAUUAUUAGGCAAGUAGUGUUGGCACCCUCUUAGGGUUUUCAUGCACAAGAGAGGGGGUGUGGCCCCUCUCUCUCCUUCCAUGCCUAAGCA